rnacentral:rRNA from 1 species
UACGGGGGGGGCAAGCGUUGUUCGGAAUUACUGGGCGUAAAGAGCUCGUAGGUGGCCAACUAAGUCAGACGUGAAAUCCCUCGGCUUAACCGGGGAACUGCGUCUGAUACUGGAUGGCUUGAGUUUGGGAGAGGGACGCGGAAUUCCAGGUGUAGCGGUGAAAUGCGUAGAUAUCUGGAGGAACACCGGUGGCGAAGGCGGCGUCCUGGACCAACACUGACACUGAGGAGCGAAAGCCAGGGGAGCAAACAGG